rnacentral:rRNA from 1 species
GAUGAACGCUGGCGGCGUGCCUAAUACAUGCAAGUCGAGCGAACAGACGAGGAGCUUGCUCCUCUGACGUUAGCGGCGGACGGGUGAGUAACACGUGGAUAACCUACCUAUAAGACUGGGAUAACUUCGGGAAACCGGAGCUAAUACCGGAUAAUAUAUUGAACCGCAUGGUUCAAUAGUGAAAGACGGUUUUGCUGUCACUUAUAGAUGGAUCCGCGCCGCAUUAGCUAGUUGGUAAGGUAACGGCUUACCAAGGCGACGAUGCGUAGCCGACCUGAGAGGGUGAUCGGCCACACUGGAACUGAGCCACGGUCCAGACUCCUACGGGAGGCAGCAGUAGGGAAUCUUCCGCAAUGGGCGAAAGCCUGACGGAGCAACGCCGCGCGAGUGAUGAAGGUCUUCGGAUCGUAAAACUCUGUUAUUAGGGAAGAACAAAUGUGUAAGUAACUAUGCACGUCUUGACGGUACCUAAUCAGAAAGCCACGGCUAACUACGUG